ACUUUGUAUAUAUGUGUAGACACAUCAUUUACUCAGUGUAAACACACACAGAAAAGUGAGAAAAAUUAUUUUACUUAAUGAAAAAGAAUGUUGGGCUUUUUUUGUUGUUUACACCAGUGGUUCCCAACCUCGGUCCUCAAGUACCCCCAACAGUUCAUGUUUUCCAGGUCACCUAGCAGUUGAACAGGUGUAUUCAUUACUCACUGACAUUAAAUAAGACCCACAGGUGAAGCUAAUUAUUUCACUUGAAAUCCUGUGAGGAGACCUGGAAAACAUGAACUGUUGGGGGUACUUGAGGACCGACGUUGGGAAGCACUGGUUUAGACCAUAGAAGAUCGUAAGUUCCCAAACAUGGUCUUCAUGGCACCCCAAUGGUCCAGCUUUUAUAGGUAUAUCCAUGCUUGACCACAGGUGACUUAAUUAGUACCUCAGUCAAUAUGAUUUAACCAUCUGUGCUGUGCCAUGGAUAUCUUUAAUACCUGGACCGUUAGGGUAUCUUGAGUACCACAUUUGGGAACCUCUUCCAUAGGUUCUAAACUCUGUGCUCUAGCCUGCAGUUCAUGUUUUCCAGGUCUCCUCACAGAAUCACCAGUGAAAUAAUUAGCUCCACCUGAGGAUCUUUUAAAGUGUAUCAGUACUAUGUCUGCCCCUGGAGAGAACCCCAAAUAUGAUCCUUUCUAUCCUUUCUGGACAAAGUAAUUCUCAAUCUUCUAGCAUCUGAGAAAUGGGGAAAUAAACACAUGUUCACUGAUCAUUAAUAAAAAAACAGAAAUCUGAACAGUGGCGUCACAAGGGGGGUGCAGCCCGCUCGCAGGUGUCACCCACCGAGGGGUGACACCAAAAUGCUGGCUCCUUCUCAGUGACAGGAGCUGGUGGCUGCACUGUAACAUUACUAUAUGUACAGCACUAUCACAGUAUAGGAGCUGGCAGUACAGAUCUGACAGUCAUUCAUACAGACAGUACAGACAAGAUAUCCAUACAGACUGGUCGGAAUAUACGGAACUCCAACUAUUCUAUGCUUUAAUUGAACUGUAUGCUAGCAGUUCCAACACAUCUGGUAAUUGUCCUGAGUUGAUCGUUUAAUGUGGAUUCCUGCAUUUACCUGCAUUUAAAUGUGAUUUCUGAAAUUCUAACAUGUGAUUUUUAGUGUGUACAGUACUUUAAGUAUAUGCAUAUUAAAACUGUACUUCACCAUGCACUUUCAUUCUCUCCAUUUUCAUGUUCAUGGCAAAUUAUUGGAGAAAGAUGCUCAUACUAAUGUGCAUAUAGGAUUGAAGAAGGUCCUCUACAAGCGCUGGUUAUGUUUUUUCCCCCCACUGUGUGGUCUGCUGAUCCCAGCAAGGCUGUCAGGGUAUAAUGACACUUGGAGAACCACAAGAGCCAACAUUCUAGGGCAUCAAGACCUCACUAGCAUAUGUUGUCCGGUGGUCAAGAAAUAUUUAAAUAAGACAGGACAUGCACUCUGUACAAAAAAAUAUUUUAUAAAAUAAACA